AAUUUGGUAAUAAAUACGGUACAUACGUGAUAAAUCGGCAGACACCGAAUAAACAGCUCUGGUUAUCAUCGCCAACUUCUGGACCUAAACGAUUAUGGACGAAAUAAUGGAAGAUGGAAAUCUCGUUGAUCGAGUUAGAAUUUUAUUGCAAAGAGACAUGCAAUAUUAUCAGGCGCAGCAAACAGUUUUACGUGAAUCAUUGUGUAACAGAGUAAGCGGUGGUAAGCUCGAUUUUCCUCGUCACGCAUCAUUCGCAGUCGUGAAAAUCGUUAAGUGGUGGGAAGCUGAGUUUAUAAUUGCAUUUAAAUACCCAUCAGGAUUAUGCGUUACAGCUCAACAGGAUUCAUCAGAUAAAGCUGAUGAACAAGUUGUCAAAAAAACUAAACCCUCUGAUUUUAUUUUAUUGGUUGUUGAUACAUCUGAACAGCUAAUUGAACAUUUACACGCUUUAAUUCAAGAAUCACUUGAUCACGCGGACUUGGCAGUAUUGACUGCAACACUUGGAGCUGCAGCUUUAAUGAGAAAUUGUUUAUGGUGUUAUAAUCAACAGUCUAAAGAUAAAAUACCCAAACAAAUAAGUGAAAAACUUCAUCAAUGUUACAAAUCGUACCAAGAAAUGGCUGAAGCUGUGGCUGAAAAACUUCUUGAUCUACAUUGUCGUUUAAUUUCUUUAUAUAUUUUAAACGAAGCAGACUCACUAAAUUGGCAAAGCAAUAAACCUUUUUUUGAGCGAGAAAGAUCCUCAUUUAUUAUUCAAAUGUGGUGGCUUUACAUGCAGGGUACAAAAGCAGACUUAUGGAAUACUGUAUCACCUAAAAUGGCACAAAGAAUAUUUGCUGGGAUGCUCAAUGAAUCAUUGACCAUUAUCGUAUCACGAUUUAUUCACGGACGUCCAAGUUUAACAAGGUCACAACAAUUUUGGUCGGAUGCGUUUAAUGUUUUGAGCUGCACCGCUUACCUUGCAUUAGCGGGUUCUGCUGAUGCCAAUGAACUUAUAGGAUUACGUAUGAAUAAAUUAUCAAUUGUAAUGAGAGAUAUACAUGCUAAAUGCCGCGAAUUGCUAAUUUGCUUACUUUUGCGUGGUACACCGUUGAAAUCCCUUUAUCAGGUUUGUCGGAACGGAUUAGAGGGCAUGCCGAUGCUUAAAAAACAAUGUGGUCCAGCACCUUGGUUGAUAAUAAGUGCUCCAAAGCUCUUUGGAUUCCCAGUACUAAAAAGUGUUAAUUUAUCUUUACCAGAAGAUCAAGCUCUUAUCUUGGAGAUAAAUGUCUUGAGGUGUCAACCGCAAGCUAAAUGGCCUCAAUUACUUAAAGUUUUAUCAAUGAAUGAAUGCUUAGUGGCACGAAUCCUGUUAAGUACUCUGAUACGUCAAUGUGUUGGUAAAAAUCAAGAUAUUAACUCAAUGAUAAGAUACACUAAAUCAAAAGAAAAUUCAAAUUAUUGUGGGGGAUUUUUAUGCACCGGUUGCCAACAAAAUCUCUCAAAUUUACCGCCUACUUUAUAUCUCUACAGUCUGAUGUACGUAUUGAUUAAUACGGCAAUGGAUCCACUCGACGUUGUCAUUCCCGCACUCAAGCAGGAUAUUAAUUGGUCCAAUUACCUUGAUAGACAGCAGGUAUGGAAUCAAUGUCGAGCUCCCUGGUUAAAUGCUCUCCUGUCUCCAUUUAAAACCAUUAUGACACCUAUUGUCAAUACUCUACUUGAUGCAAUAAGGACAGGUGCAAGUAUUUAUCAAACAAUGUCACUGGCAUUGGCUUGUUUUUCUGAGCUUUUUAUGUGCACUCCAAUAAACGUAUUACGCAUUAUUAAUUUUAUAAAUAAAAAUAUACCCGCUCACUGUCAUCCAAUCGGUGGUUCAGUAUUUAUACAAAUAUUUUGUGCUGCUCUUUAUUCUGCACUACUUGAAAUAUCAAAUACCACCGGUGAUAUGUCUGACAAAUCAGAUAUUCAAGAAACACCACCAAGUAUCGCUGACUCUUAUUCAUUUGAUCCUCAAGACAAAGCCGCCUCCGCUACAGCACUAGCUGAGGGUGUUUGCAGUAUUGAUGAAGACAAUAAACACACCGCUCAAAUAGAAGCUAUAAUAAAACGCUUUGAAACGUGGAUUAAAGAAGAAGAAGAAGAUAGUCCGAGAAUUAAAAAAUUAAAUAAUAGUUCUCUGUGGAUUGAAACUUAUGCUGACGAGUUAUUAUUCACGGAAAUUGGACGUCGAUCUUUGAAAAUUACUUAUGAAUAUUUGAUAUGUGCUUCGGACUGGAUACUAAAUAAUCUUGUUAAAAAUCCAGAUGAAAUGAAAAAUGAUUUUAAAAAUACUACUGACGCUCAUGUAUCCGCGAAACCUCUUACAUAUGUAAUGUUUCAUAUUGAACAUGAUCCAUUUGACCAAUGGCUAACAAAUUUAGAUGAAUCUAAUUGGCAGGUGAUAUUGAAUAUGCCGCUAUCAGUGACCCUAGAUCGAAUUCAAAGUCAAAUUCUCGUAAGACCAGAGUUUAAAAAUAUUGGAGAACUAUCGUGUGACGACAAAGAUGUAGCGAUUGCCUUAAAAAAUUUAUGUUCAGCUUCGCAGUCAACUUCAUUUGAAUAAACAGAUUUAUAUUGAUUAAUAUUAUUAUUUUAUUUUAAAUAAUAGUAAUGAGGGGACAGGUUAUUGCGUAAUAAAGUAUGGGGAUAUAUAUAUAUAAGAGAUGUGACGACAGGGAUAUAAAUUUACC